GCCGCUGCUGCCUUUGUUCGGCCGAGCGGCGCCGGCAGGGGAGGGCGGUGGGUGGCAGGCUGGACGCUUCUCCCACACGAAGAUUGUUCCUCCGCCACUGGCAGACACGGAGUAACUUCGCCGAAGUUAAUUUAUACCUUCAGUUCAGGUACUUGAGGUCAACACAAGCAGCCCUGUCAUGGCAGUUAAAAGGAUAGAGGGAGGAGAAUUUCCCCUCAUUCACAUCUCGCUUAGAAGAGACUGACAGACUUAAAAAUGACAUUUUCUGUGUGGUCCAUGAGAUGCCCGGGGAAAGAUACAGGUAAUGUGAGGAAGGAGGGAAAUGUGCAGCAUGUGAGCUGUUCCACAUCAUCAAGGACCUUCUGCUUCCUAGAUGUGGUAACAUGGCAGCUUUAGAGAAAGAGAAUCAAAAACAAGUGACAGCCCAGCCUCUGCCUCAGACAGAAGACCAACCCAUUGAAGCAGUGGUGAGAGAUCCUCUCACUGCAAGGCAAGCUGCAGCCAUGAGCUCAUCAUGCACAUCCAUGGACUUCAUCAUUUUCCGUAUCUCUCUAAUGUAACCAGCACCCUGGCCUUAGGAUGACAUUUAGGGGUACCUUACAUGAUUAUCCUUGUACACAAAUCUAUGCAUUUUGAGAUACUGAUUUAUAAAUAAAUAAGCAUAUAAACUCCUGAUUUAUAAAUAAUAUCUAAAGUAAGAAACUAAUUUUAUAAACAUGGUUAUACCUGAUUAAACUCCUCUGACUCAAUAAGACUGCUCAAUGGGAGUAAAAAAUGUGCAUAAGAAAUUGUGUUGUCUGGAACUAGGUUAAGAACUUCUGGAAAUGAAUAUAAAACUAUUGUAUUCAAGACUGAUUUCUUCUUUAUGCUUUCCAAAAAACAUUAUUAUCAAAUGCAUUAAUCUUGUCAGUCCAUUAAAAUAUUUCACAACUUUUAAAAGGUGUUGAGAUUAAAAAAAUUAAACCCCCACCUAUUGAUAAUAACUGUCUUUCUAAAUCCAUAUUCUUAUAAGACCUAAUCAAUAGGUUUACUCAGAAACAGCUGACACCACUUAAAACUGUGUUAAUUAACACAGAUUCUCAAGGUCCAGUUCUAAUGGAGACAAGCUCUGUCCGCCUUUAACAGAGCCUCAUUAUUGUUCACGCUACUUGAAUCUGCCAUUAACAGUAAGUCUCCAUCUCACAGCUGCUGCUAAACCUGUGGUCUGCUUGCAUUCAAAGAGGAUUUCAGUUGUAUUUUGGCAUGACAUAUGAUAUUCAGAAUAUCACCUGUAACUGUGAGUAAGAAUGACUGAGCUGGUUAUCUCUAAAAUCCUGUCUGUGGAAAGUUUGGGCUUUGCAUACAUUCUCUUUAUGUAAACUUAUGUGUAAGGAUUUAAAAAUGCAGACUGCUGCCUGUAUUACUGUGGCACUCAGAUUGAAUUAGGCACAGCAACUCAAAUACUAAGUGGUGUAGCCUUCAUCCCUGCCCCUACACCUGUGGGAUGUAUUUAGUUCUGAGGCCCUCCAGUCAGCUGACCAGGAGGUGUGAACUGGAUCAGCAACAAG